rnacentral:rRNA from 1 species
UACGUAGGGUGCAAGCGUUGUCCGGAAUUAUUGGGCGUAAAGAGCUCGUAGGCGGUUUGUCGCGUCUGCUGUGAAAUCUGGGGGGCUCAACCCCCCAGCCUGCAGUGGGUACGGGCAGACUAGAGUGCGGUAGGGGAGAUUGGAAUUCCUGGUGUAGCGGUGGAAUGCGCAGAUAUCAGGAGGAACACCGAUGGCGAAGGCAGAUCUCUGGGCCGUAACUGACGCUGAGGCACGAAAGCGUGGGGAGCAAACAGG